AUAUAGUAAUUUUGCUUUCUCCGCCAGUCGCCAGUCGCCAGUCGCCAGACGCCAGUCCGCUGUCCGCCUCACUCACUCAGUUCCUCACCCUCAGUCCUCACCCUCAGAAGUCAGACCUCACCAGUUCUCUGCCAGUCCGCCACCGGCCACACGGCUCAAGCAGUCAAGCCCUCACCAGUUCUCCGCCUCACGACUCACGCGGUCACGCCCCCACGACUGAGCCCGUCAAGACUCAGUUUUCUAUAUCUUUUUCCGGCAGAGCAUUGCACUAAGGAUUAUCGAGUGCAUAAGCUUUCAAAUGUGCUUCCAAGUUUAAGCAACACAUUUUCCCUCCACAGAUCUUUCAUCUAACACUUGAAACUGUAAUCUGACCUCUACCUCCUACAUUCCAUGAUCAAUUCAAGAAUCAAACAAGCUAGCACAACUCCCUCAAAACUCAAAAUUAACAACCUUGCACAAUUCAGAACCUCAAUUUUCCCAUCCCAACCAUACCAUAGUCAUCAUCGUUCUCAUAAACCCACCUCAAAAUCCUCACUUGAAAGGCCUCAUAAGCCUACAAAAAACCUACUUCGCAAGCCAAUACCACUACUUGCUAACCUCAAACAAAUCCAAGAUCCUGAUGAAGCUAUUUCACUGUUCCAUGAUUACCAGCAAACCGGGUUCAAACAUGACUACCCUACUUAUGCUUGUCUUAUUUAUAAGCUCGCUAAGUCUCGAGACUUCGAAGCUGUUGAAACCCUUCUUGGGUAUUUAAAAACAUAUUAUAUUCGAUGUCAAGAGAAGGUUUUUGUCGGGUUGAUUCAACAUUACGGCAAAGCCCAGUUGGUUGAUAAAGCUAUUGAGCUUUUUCACAACAUGGCGUCGUUUAAUUGUACGCGUAGUGUACAGUCUUUUAAUGCACUUUUAAAUGUGCUUGUUGAUAAUGGACGUUCUGAUGAUGCAAAUAAGAUGUUAAGGAAUUGUUCGAAAAUGGGUAUUUGGUUAAAUGGUGUUUCGUUUAACAUUAUUAUUAAGAUGUGGCUGGAAAAGGAUGACUGGGAACUGGCACGCCAAGUGUUUGAUGAAAUGAUUGAAAGAGAAAUUGAGCCGACUGUGGUAACUUACAAUUGUCAAAUUGGAUUUUUGUGUAAGAAGGGGGAUGUUGAAGGCGCUAAAAGUUUGUUUCAGGAUAUGGUUAGAAAGGGAAAGAAGCCAAAUGCAGUUUCUUAUGCUUUGUUGAUGGAAGGUUUGAGUUCUUUGGGUAAGUAUAAAGAAGCCAAGAAGUUAAUGUUUGAUAUGGAAUACCAAGGAUGUAAGCUGAAAAUAGUCAAUUAUGGUGUUUUGAUGACUGAUCUUUUAAAACGAGGCGACAUUGGUGAGGCAAAUAGUUUACUCGUGGAGAUGAAAAAGAGGCACAUUAAGCCCGACGUUGUGAUCUAUAAUAUGUUAAUCAAUUAUUUCUGUAAGGAAUGUAAAACUGCUGAAGCGUAUAGGAUAUUAGUUGAUAUGCAAAUUGCAGGUUGCAAUCCUAAUGCAACUACAUAUAGAAUGGUGGUUGAUGGGUUUUGUAAAACAGGAGAAUUUGAGGAAGGUUUGAAGGUUUUGAAUGCAAUGUUGAUUAGCGGGCAUUUUCCGCGUGUAGAAACAGUAAGGUGUAUGAUUCUUGGCCUGCUUGAUAAAGAGAAGGUUGAAGAUGCUUGCUUUGUUUUGGAGGAAAUGGAGAAAAGGAAGAAAAGGUUUGACUUUGAGUCAUGGGAAGCCAUUGUCAAGGAUGCUUGCAGCAAUAGUAUUUUUGUAUAUAGGCUCGUUGAUGAGCUUGUAUUUUAGCUAUUGGACUAUGAAAUAGAUCGCGGCUAGAUCUGUUUUGUGCUCGUCUUGAUGCUAUCUCAGAUGUCCAUUUGGAAAGUUCCAUUGAGCAACCCUACUAAUUUCACAAUAAUUCCCUUCCCUUGCUUGCUUGUAGUCAGUUCCAGUGUCAAGAUUUUUUACUUGGUUUGUGGAGCUGGGCAUGCUUGAUUGGAGCAUUUGGUGUCCGGCUAAACCUCAAAAGGAGUAUGUAAUUUCACCCCUGUUAAGAUGGAGUAGUAGAAAAGAAUACCAUAUACUUUUACCCCCUAAAGAAAUACUGUAAUAGUUCCUACUAUUUCAAAGCGGGAGUAAGGGGCCUCUUUGUCGUCCUGCUUGCCACUCGAAGUUCCUCACCCUCAGUCCUCACCCUCAGAAGUCAGACCUCACCAGUUCUCUGCCAGUCCGCCACCGGCCACACGACUCAAGCAGUCAAGCCUUCACCAGUUCUCCGCCUCACGACUCACGCGGUCACGCCCCCACGACUGAGCCCGUCAAGACUCAGUUUUCUAUAUCUUUUUCCGGCAGAGCAUUGCACUAAGAUUGGAAUUUUGAGCUGUUUGCACUUUGUAUGUGGGCAAUUGAGGUACUGGCCACUGGGUAUGUUUAGUUUGAGGCAAAAAUUUAAUAUUUUUUGGCUUUUCCUUUAGAAUUAUGACUAUAUGAUUAUGGGUGUUGUCAAUAUGUGUUUAAUUUUUCUAUGUGCAGCUUUGAAUUGUUGUUCUAUGUGCAGCUUUGUGACAGUCUUCAAAUGCUUGUAGUUCUGCCACAAGAUCUUGAAUUCUUGAUACUGAAUAGAAGUUUAAAUCUCAUUUUGGAACCUUUAAAAUUGUUACUCAGCUGUAGUUUAACUUUUAGUUUUAUACUGAAACUGGUAUAUUGAGAAUUUCUUUUGUUGGAUUGAAAUCCCCACCCGCUCCUUGGUCCUUACCUUGAAGUGUCAUAUAUAGCAGCUUCCAGUAAACUUUGUACAAAUAUUACUUUGUACAAAUACUAGCGUUCAGCACUCUUAAUUUUAGGUAAUAUCCAGCGUUCAGCACUCUUAAUUUUAGUUUUACCUUAUCGGGUAAACCGAUAACCGAACCGA